UAUUGGGCAAUGGGCGCAAGCCUGACCCAGCAACGCCGCGUGAAGGAAGAAGGCUUUCGGGUUGUAAACUUCUUUUAUUGAGGACGAAACAAAUGACGGUACUCAAUGAAUAAGCCACGGCUAACUACGUGCCAGCAGCCGCGGUAAUACGUAGGUGGCAAGCGUUAUCCGGAUUUACUGGGUGUAAAGGGCGUGUAGGCGGGACUGCAAGUCAGAUGUGAAACCCAUGGGCUCAACCCAUGGCCUGCAUUUGAAACUGUAGUUCUUGAGUGAUGGAGAGGCAGGCGGAAUUCCGUGUGUAGCGGUGAAAUGCGUAGAUAUACGGAGGAACACCAGUGGCGAAGGCGGCCUGCUGGACAUUAACUGACGCUGAGGCGCGAAAGCGUGGGGAGCAAACAGG
rnacentral:rRNA from 1 species